GACGAACGCUGGCGGCGUGCUUAACACAUGCAAGUCGAACGGAAAGGCCCUGCUUGCAGGGUACUCGAGUGGCGAACGGUGAGUAACACGUGGGUGAUCUGCCCUGCACUUCGGGAUAAGCCUGGGAAACUGGGUCUAAUACCGGAUAGGAGCCAUUUUUAGUGUGAUGGUUGGAAAGUUUUUUCGGUGUAGGAUGAGCUCGCGGCCUAUCAGCUUGUUGGUGGGGUAAUGGCCUACCAAGGCGGCGACGGGUAGCCGGCCUGAGAGGGUGGACGGCCACAUUGGGACCCGAGAUACGGCCCAGACUCCUACGGGAGGCAGCAGUGGGGAAUAUUGCACAAUGGGCGCAAGCCUGAUGCAGUGACGCCGCGUGGGGGAUGACGGCCU
rnacentral:rRNA from 1 species